AUGUAAUUCAAAGUUAUUUUAUAGCAUUCAGCAUUUUCUAUUGGCAUAUUCCCAGAUAACAAAUAACUUCCAUUUGCAACUGGGAGAUCAGAAAGCACACAAUCCAACAGAAAAUUUUGUUUAUAUUUUCCAGAAUAAAUCAUUUUAAAAGCAAACUGAAGAGAGGAAAAGUGAAUAGGUACUGUACUGUCCUGACAAAGAAGCAAAUCAUUUUCAACUUUGUUAAGCAGAUUUGGGAAGAAAAAGAAAGACCACUGCUUCAGACUAAUAAGAUAAAGAAGCCAGGGGAAGGUUAGUAAGAACUUCAUGGGAAGGAAGGCCACUUGUCAGUGUUUUAGUCCAAAAUCUACUACUAAUAAGAUAUAUUAGGCAAGUCAAAACCGAAGGCAACAGAACCUGCCCAAAGAAAUGAAGUAAAAUGGAUGAAAGCACUAUGCUAAGAUUUAAUAUGAAAUAUCCAAUAGUAGCAAGAAUGCGUUGGAAGUAGCCUUUUCUCAUUCAUUUGCUGAAGGAAAGUGACUCCCAGCAAAUAAAAAAUUAUGUCUUGUAACGCCACAACAGUAACUCAAUUCUCUCUCUUCCUUCUCUAAUCUUAUAAUCUCCCAAAGUUAAAUUUAAACAUUAAAAUUCUCGAGGGAGAAGCAGCGGAAUAUAAUCAAAAGGGAUCUGGAGCCUUAUCUAGAACACACUUUCACGUUCCACCUGCGAGUCAGGGAAACGAACCUUGCCCUCCAAAUACCUCGGAACCGAUUCAGCUUUUCGGAUGAAAUGCUCGGGCGUUCACUGGCCAACUCGAAGGGGACACCACUUUAGAAAGCAACUUUGCCAAAUGGACCCAGGAGAGUUCACACAAACCAUCCUCGCGACUUUCAACAGCAACUACUAAGGAAUCGUGCCAAACCUCACUCAUCCAAUGACUUAGACAACAGCCUCCAGCCUGGUCUUUAAAUUAACAAGUUUGGAGGAAAGUUUGUCUUCGAUAAGGCGUCACAAUAUAUGGAAUCAAAAGAAGUAGGGUUUGAGUCCUGAUUCUAUCCAAACUGUUUCACCUUUCAUCUCAGGUUCAAGAAGAUGAUUAUUUAAAUCAUAAUGAUAACUCCGAGGGGGAAAGCUAUAAAAAGCACCUUGGAGCAGCUUUGUUCAUAGUUUCAUUUGUGCUACAAGAAUGAAUGGAGGGCUUCCCUGGUGGCGCAGUGGUUGAGAAUCCGCCUGCCGAUGCAGGGGACACGGGUUCGUGCCCCGGUCCAGGAAGAUCCCACGUGUCGCGGAGCGGCUGGUCUCGUGAGCCAUGGCCGCUGAGCCUGUGCUUCGCAACGGGAGAGGCCACAACAGCGAGAGGCCCGUGUACAGCAAAAAAAAAAAAAAAAAAGAAUGAAUGGAUAUUUUUUCAUCAUGACAAAAUAUAUGAACCUUACUCCUAAAGUCAGCUCCGAAACGAGGAAACUCUAGCAGCAUUCUCACUAAAGUCAGGAACAACAGAUGCCUGCUAUCUCCACUAUUAUUUAACAUUCUCUGGAGUUACUACCCAGUGUAAUUAGACUACUGGAAACAAUGAGGCAGAAGAAAAUAAGAAGUAAAUCUAUCUAUUUGCAGAUAAGAUGGUGAUAUACCUGGAAAACCCUAGAAUAGGGGUCAGCAAAUUAGGGACCACAGGUGAAAUUCAGCCCCUCAUCUGUUUUUUAAAUAAAGUUUUAAUGGAACACA